rnacentral:lncRNA from 1 species
AUGGCCGCGCGCACGCACUCGGACAUGGACUCAGAGCAGAGACCGGCAUGGAUGAUAUGGAGGACAUCGACAACAGUGUACAGUGGGUACCACAGCGACAGCGACUAAGACCAAGGGCAAAGUGUGAAACACCGACUGAGGCGUAACGCCCAUAGUGCUCGCUCCCCGAUAACCACUGUAUCCGAAGAGUAAGUCGGUCGGCUGUCAUGAUUAAAUAAAACUCCAAUGCAAACGGUCCGGCUAGGAUAUUAAAUUACAGCCAUAACGGCUUUGGGAUUGACUCCGACAGUGGAAGGAGAGUAGAAGGCGAGUAGAAGCAGUGACAAGGGGCAGAGACAAAGGUAAAGGCCAUGCCGGCAGGACAAACAACCCAAAAAAGGCUUGCCAGAGUGUCUUUUUGGGCCCAAGUCCAAGACACAGAACACACGGAUACACGGAUACGCAGCUACAGGGAAAGAGCCACGACAAAAUCAUAAAAGACAUAAACAGUUGUAAAGACCCAAACCACAAAGGGCGUAGAAUCAAAAUUGAGCACUAAAACGUUAUCGAGGUCGUCUCAGAUUAACUAGCCUUUUUGCUGUGUCGAUGACAGGACCGACGACACACUGAAUACUGGAUACUGGACAUGUGGACAGGGCAGGGCCAGGCCCAGGCAUGCGGACAGGUAGUUCAUUCUGAAAUAUCGAAUGCAUCUUAAAGAUACUUGUGCUACAUUACGAUCAUUACUCUUUGUAACAGAUAUGCGAGCGUAACGCGUCGCUUCGGAUCAACGCAUGGACAGGGGCAGGGGUCUGGAGACAAGAUGACCCGACUGCCGUGCAAUCCCGGACCUGUCCUGUCCAGUUCCCCCCGCUGGCUGACUGACUGCAGGAUGGUGCCUUGUCGCCGACCCACAACAGUGCUAUUGUGCGACAAGUUUGUCAUUCACAACCGUCGCGACGAUAAGAAACCAUUACGAGUGUAUGAAAGAGCAAAGGACACUGCACCGAGGAGAGAGAUCUCAUUGAAUGGCGCCAGUUUCACAAUGAAUUCUGAUUCUGUCCAAAUUAUGGGAAUAUUUUCCGCCACGGUUUCAUAGCGGGGUAGCGUAGGGUUUGUUUUUUACAAGACCUCCUUAGGUGCGAGUGGAACAAUUGCUUCUUGUUUUCCAUUUCAAUUUUCUUUGAAACUCCCAAAAAUAUGCUGAUUCCUGAUACGUCUAUUGGCGCCUUUUUGCUGCCCACACAGCAGCUACUAAAGUGGCGCAUGAAAAGUGGCCAAUUUUAUGGCAUAUUAAGUACGAGUGUACAUAAAAAAUAGAAAUACAUAAAAUAUUUUAGCUUAACGCCACAUAUUUCAAACAUUUCC